AACGCUAGCUACAGGCUUAACACAUGCAAGUCGAGGGGUAACGAGGAGAGAGCUUGCUUUUUCCGUCGACGACCGGCGCACGGGUGAGUAACGCGUAUCCAACCUACCUUCAGCUAAGGAACAGCCCGUCGAAAGGCGGAUUAAUACCUUAUGUUGUUUCAUGAUGUCAUCAGAAAGAAACGAAAGAUUUAUCGGCUGAGGAUGGGGAUGCGUCUGAUUAGAUUGUUGGCGGGGCAACGGCCCACCAAGUCAUCGAUCAGUAGGGGUUCUGAGAGGAAGGUCCCCCACAUUGGAACUGAGACACGGUCCAAACUCCUACGGGAGGCAGCAGUGAGGAAUAUUGGUCAAUGGGCGAGAGCCUGAACCAGCCAAGUAGCGUGCAGGAUGACGGCCCUAUGGGUUGUAAACUGCUUUUACACGGGGAUAAAGUGGUCGACGUGUCGUCCAUUGCAGGUACCGUGCGAAUAAGGACCGGCUAAUUCCGUGCCAGCAGCCGCGGUAAUACGGAAGGUCCAGGCGUUAUCCGGAUUUAUUGGGUUUAAAGGGAGCGUAGGCCGUCUGUUAAGCGUGUUGUGAAAUGUAGAUGCUCAACAUCUGAAUUGCAGCGCGAACUGACAGACUUGAGUGCGCGGGAAGUAGGCGGAAUUCGUGGUGUAGCGGUGAAAUGCUUAGAUAUCACGAAGAACUCCGAUUG
rnacentral:rRNA from 1 species